GCUCUCGGCACCUCCAGCCUCCAGCUCCACGCCCCGUCUCCAGACUCAGGUUUCAACAUUACCGCACUGCUGAUUAGUGCUGCUGCUGUAGUUGGCGCCAUUGUGACUAUAUGCCUCAUCAUGAAGACCAUUCAAAAGCAGGGG